AAGCGCUUGCAACCAGACUUGUUUACAGGGUUCAGCCGUCGUUCUCGUCGGUGUAUUUCCCUGUCAUCAGGCCAGCAUCAGUUUGGGUGGCGGGUGAAAGACCUCGGGAAUGUGACACUCUUCGGGGUGUGUUAUAGCCCUUGGUGUAAUGCCGCCCGCCUGGACUGAGGAACGCGCUUCGGCUCGGAUGUUGGCGUAAUGGUUGUAAGCGA
rnacentral:rRNA from 1 species